rnacentral:rRNA from 1 species
GUGGGGAAUUUUGGACAAUGGGCGCAAGCCUGAUCCAGCAAUGCCGCGUGCAGGAAGAAGGCCUUCGGGUUGUAAACUGCUUUUGUACGGAACGAAACGGUCCUGGCUAAUACCCGGGGCUAAUGACGGUACCGUAAGAAUAAGCACCGGCUAACUACGUGCCAGCAGCCGCGGUAAUACGUAGGGUGCGAGCGUUAAUCGGAAUUACUGGGCGUAAAGCGUGCGCAGGCGGUGCUGUAAGACAGGCGUGAAAUCCCCGGGCUCAACCUGGGAAUUGCGCUUGUGACUGCAGUGCUGGAGUGCGGCAGAGGGGGAUGGAAUUCCGUGUGUAGCAGUGAAAUGCGUAGAUAUGCGGAGGAACACCGAUGGCGAAGGCAAUCCCCUGGGCCUGCACUGACGCUCAUGCACGAAAGCGUGGGGAGCAAACAGGAUUAGAUACCCCAGUAGUCC